CUCAAAAGCUGAACGGUGACUCUGAACCCCGUUUCAGAUCACCCUUCUUCCAGGUUCAUGCUCAACAUCUAUCAUUGCCCUUAAGACAUCUGUAGCUAGGGACUUCCCUGGUGGCGCAGUGGUUAAGAAUCUGCCUGCCAAUGCGGGGGACACGGGUUCACACCCUGGUCUGGGAAGAUCUCACGUGCCGUCGAGCAACUAAGCCCAUUUGCCACAGCUACUGAGCCUGCACUCCAGAGCCCGCGAGCCACAGCUACUGUGCCUGCGUGCCACAACUAAUGAAGUCCGCAUGCCUAGAGCCCAUGCUCUGCAACAAGAGAAGCCACUGCAAUGAGAAGCCCGUGCACCGCGAUGAAGAGUAGCCCACAGUCGCCGCAACUAGAGAAAGCGCACGCGCAGCAACAAA